GGUCAGUUGUGCCCUAUCCAUAAUGUCUAGGGGCGUCUCCGGUCUAUUGAGUUUGGGGAAGGCUUUUAGUUUGGGUGAGACGUCCUCUGUUAUGAUUUCCGCGAUGGUAGGAUUGGGGGUCAAAGAUAUUCGGGCCAGUAUGGUUCUACCUUGUCUAUUUUGGAAGUCUGGGUUAUCUGCUAUUGGGAAGUACAGAGAUAGUCCUGGGGACAAUCCCCACUCCUCUCUGUGCCUUCUCCAGAUUUGAAGUAUGUUGUGUAUGAAUGGGUGGUGUGUGGCGGAUAAUUUUUUAAGUUGGCACGUCUGCCACGG